rnacentral:ncRNA from 1 species
GGCCACCUUAUGGGGGCUUUACCAUAGCAGAGUAUACUUUGCCGUACAAGCAACGGAAGAAAGAAA